GGAGGGAUCAUUAACACACAAAAAUGAUUGGGAAUUUUGAGGAGAGAUCCUCUAUUCCUGAUUGUUAGUCCAUUUUGGGAUUGGUGACUUCUGUUGCCUCUCCUAAAACAACGUGCGAUGUUCAAGUCUUGUGACCAUGCAUGCCCACCUCGGUGGCGCUUUUGCGUGAUCGCAAGCAAACAAGAACACCAUUAAAUUCAUCGUGAAGAGAUAUUAUUUUUAUCGAGCGAGAAUGAAUCGCAUCGAGGACGCUUUGAUUAGUGCUCUCUUUGUAUUUUUUUCAAGCGAGAAAAUAAAAUAAAAUCAAAUUUAGAGAGAACUUUUAACAACGGAUAUCUUGGUUCUCGCAACGAUGACGAGCGCAGCGAAAUGCGAUACUUAGUGUGAAUUGCAGAAUUCAGUGAAUCAUCGAGACCUUGAACGCAAAUUGCACCUGCAAUCAUUUGCAGGUACACCUGUUUGAGUGCCAACACAACCAAUCACCAAAUCAAAAACACCGUGUGUGUUUUCACGAUGGUGAGAAUUGAGCGUCCAUAAUUCAUUUUUAUGGUCGCUUGAAAUAUCGAAUCGAUUGGUCGCUAAAAAUGAGAAAGUGUCCACCAUUUAAAUUCUUGAUUCCAAACCUGCGCGAUAGUAAUAUCGACUCGCUGUUAGUAAGAUCAAGGAAGGGUGAGAGUGUUUUUCUUGCGACCAUUCUUAAUGGAUGAAAUACAGCUAGUUCUGUAUUAAUUACUGUGACUCGUUAGCCGAGUUCAAUGGCCUCAAAUCAGGCGAGAAUACCCGCUGAACUUAAGCAUAUUAAUAAGCGGAGGAAAAGAAACUAACAAGGAUUCCCUCAGUAACUGCGAGUGAAGUGGGAAGAGCUCAAGCUUAAAAUCAAGGGCAAUCUAUGUCCUCGAAUUGUAGUUUUGUGAAUGACUCCAUGGUGAAGUCCUCGAUAUAAGUCCUCUGGAACGAGGUGCCAAAGAAGGUGAUAGCCCUGUGCAUGAUCGAGGGGUAAUCUUUAUCAGUAUGUUGUCAAUUCCUAGAGUCGGGUUGUUUGGGAGUACAGCCCAAAGUGGGAGGUAAAUUCCUUCUAAAGCUAAAUAAUGGCGAGAGACCGAUAGCGAACAAGUACCGUGAGGGAAAGAUGCAAAGAACUUUGAAAAGAGAGUUAAAAGUGCUUGAAAUUGUUAAAAGUGAAGCGAUUGAGCGCAGUACAUGCUGACCAUCAACUCAUUCAUUGUUGUGGUGUUGGAGUGGCGUUAUCGAGUGUCCCAAGUGGCAUCGUUGCGUUGUUUCCUGGCAUCAUUUCAGUGGAGCAUUUUGGUGGUUAGUGAGUCAACAUCAGUGAAGUAUUGAGUGGGAGAAUGGGGUGGAGGAGGUGACAUGCGGUCAGUCUCGGCUGAUUUAGUGUGUGUUAAACUCUGCUCAGAUACCAUUCAUUUCACUGAGGCAACCAAUGGUUGAUAACUGGCGCCUUUUUUGGCGGGGUAAGAGUGGGACUGUCGAGUGUAGACGGUGAGGACAGCAUGCUGUGCUUGUUGAUCUAUGUUUGUCAUUGCUUGCUCUCCACCGUUUUCCAGUUAGAGAUGUUGACCGAAUGUUCUCAAUCGUCCCGUCUUGAAACACGGACCAAGGAGUCUAACAUAUGUGCGAGUAAUUGAGUGACAAACUUAGAUGCGUAAUGAAAGUAAUAGGGUGGGAGUCUGAAAAGAUGCACCAUCGACCAAUUUUGAAAUUUUUGGAUAGAUUUGAGUUGUAGCAUAUAUGUUGGGACCCGAAAGAUUGCGAACUAUGCUUGCAUAGGGUGAAGCCAGGCGAAAGUCUGGUGGAGGCUCGUAGCGAUACUGACGUGCAAAUCGUUCGUCAAAUGUGGGUAUAGCGGCGAAAGACUAAUCGAGCAAUCUAGUAGCUGGUUUCCUC
rnacentral:misc_RNA from 1 species